GGUUACUGCUAUCGGUGUUUGCUAAGCCAUGCGAGUCAAAUGUUCUUUGUGAACAUGGCAUACUGCUCAGUAACACGUGGAUAACCUGCCCUCAGGUCUGGCAUAACCCCGGGAAACUGGGGAUAAUUCCGGAUAACGCAUAUAUGCUGGAAUGCUUUAUGCGUCAAAGGUCCUCCGCCUGAGGAUGGGUCUGCGGCCUAUCAGGUAGUAGCGGGUGUAAUGUACCUGCUAGCCGACGACGGGUACGGGUUGUGAGAGCAAGAGCCCGGAGAUGGAUUCUGAGACAUGAAUCCAGGCCCUACGGGGCGCAGCAGGCGCGAAAACUUUACAAUGCGGGAAACCGUGAUAAGGGGACACCGAGUGCCAGCAACAUUUGCUGGCUGUCCAGGUGUGUAAACUACACCUGUUAGCAAGGGCCGGGCAAGACCGGUGCCAGCCGCCGCGGUAACACCGGCGGCCCGAGUGGUGAUCGUUUUUAUUGGGUCUAAAGGGUCCGUAGCCGGUUUAGUCAGUCCUCCGGGAAAUCUGUCAGCUCAACUGAUAGGCUAUCGGGGGAUACUGCUAGACUUGGAACCGGGAGAGGUAAGAGGUACUACAGGGGUAGGAGUGAAAUCUUGUAAUCCCUGUGGGACCACCUGUGGCGAAGGCGUCUUACCAGAACGGGUUCGACGGUGAGGGACGAAAGCUGGGGGCACGAACCGGAUUAGAUACCCGGGUAGUCCCAGCCGUAAACGAUGCUCGCUAGGUGUCAUGCAUGGUGCGACCGUGUAUGGUGCCGUAGGGAAGCCGUGAAGCGAGCCACCUGGGAAGUACGGCCGCAAGGCUGAAACUUAAAGGAAUUGGCGGGGGAGCACAACAACGGGUGGAGCCUGCGGUUU
rnacentral:rRNA from 1 species